GUACGCGACUGUUGCUUUGCAGACGCGUCACCAUUCUCCUCUUGUCGUUGUUGCUCCGGGGCAAAAGUCGCCCCGGUUUUUUUUU
rfam:Burkholderia gladioli BSR3 chromosome 1, complete sequence.